rnacentral:rRNA from 1 species
UAGGGAAUAUUGGACAAUGGGGGCAACCCUGAUCCAGCCAUGCCGCGUGAGUGAAGAAGGCCCUCGGGUUGUAAAGCUCUUUUGUCCGGAAAGAAAAGCUUCGGGUUAAUACCCCGGGGUUCUGACGGUACCGGAAGAAUAAGCACCGGCUAACUUCGUGCCAGCAGCCGCGGUAAUACGAAGGGUGCAAGCGUUACUCGGAAUUACUGGGCGUAAAGCGUGUGUAGGUGGUUGUUUAAGUCUGAUGUGAAAGCCCUGGGCUCAACCUGGGAAUGGCAUUGGAAACUGGGCAGCUAGAGUGCGGUAGAGGGUAGUGGAAUUCCCGGUGUAGCAGUGAAAUGCGUAGAGAUCGGGAGGAACAUCUGUGGCGAAGGCGACUGCCUGGACCAGCACUGACACUGAGGCACGAAAGCGUGGGGAGCAAAC